UAGAGAAGAAUUUAAGGUUUGACCUGCCCACUGAUUAAUUAAAUGGCCGCAGUAAUUUGACUGUGCAAAGGUAGCAUAAUCAUUAGUUUUUUAAUUAAAAGCUUGYAUAAAUGGUUGGACGAAAUAAAUACUGUCUUUAAAUARYAAAUAGAAUUUAAUUUUUAAGUUAAAAAGCUUAGAUAGAUAUAAAAGACGAGAAGACCCUAUAGAUCUUUAUAAUAUUUUAUAUAUGUUUAAUUAAGAUUAUUUUAUUAUUUAUAUAGAUUAUUAUUUUAUUGGGGUAAUAAAAAGAUUAAAUWAAUUCUUUAUAUAUUAUAUAUAAAUUAAUAAAUUUUUGAUCCUUUAUUAWAGAUUAUAAGAUUAAGUUACCUUAGGGAUAACAGCGUAAUUUUUUUAAAGAGUUCAUAUCGAUAAAAAAGUUUGCGACCUCGAUGUUGGAUUAAAAAUUAUUCUAGGUGUAGUAGUUUAGAAUUUUGGUCUGUUCGACCAUUGAAUUUUUACAUGAUCUGAGUUCAGACCGGYGUAAGCCAGGUCGGUUUCUAUCUUUAUURAAUUAAUAUAUUUUAGUACGAAAGGACCAAAUAUAAAAUAUAAUAAAUAUUUUUAUUUUUGAAUUAUA
rnacentral:rRNA from 1 species